rnacentral:rRNA from 1 species
CAUGCAGUCGAGGGGCAGCAUUUUUGAAGCUUGCUUCAAAAGAUGGCGACCGGCGCACGGGUGAGUAACGCGUAUGGAACCAACCCGCAACAGGGGGAUAACCCGGAGAAAUCCGGACUAAUACCGCAUGGUACUCUUUGCACAGAAGUGUGAAGAUUUAAAGAUGCGAAUCGGUUGCGGACGGUCAUGCGUUCCAUUAGCUAGUUGGCGGGGUAACGGCCCACCAAGGCGACGAUGGAUAGGGGUUCUGAGAGGAAGGUCCCCCACACUGGUACUGAGACACGGACCAGACUCCUACGGGAGGCAGCAGUGAGGAAUAUUGGUCAAUGGGCGAGAGCCUGAACCAGCCAAGUCGCGUGAGGGAAGACGGCCCUAUGGGUUGUAAACCUCUUUUAGAUGGGAGUAAAGUGUUCUACGCGUAGGAUAUUGCAAGUACCAUCAGAAUAAGCAUCGGCUAAUUCCGUGCCAGCAGCCGCGGUAAUACGGAAGAUGCGAGCGUUAUCCGGAUUUAUUGGGUUUAAAGGGUGCGUAGGCGGGUGAUUAAGUCAGCGGUGAAAUGCGUCAGCUUAACCGGCGAACUGCCAUUGAAACUGGUUACCUUGAGUGUAGCGGAAGUAUGCGGAAUGCGUGGUGUAGCGGUGAAAUGCAUAGAUAUCACGCAGAACUCCGAUUGCGAAGGCAGCAUACCAUACUAUAACUGACGCUGAAGCACGAAAGCGUGGGUAUCGAACAGGAUUAGAUACCCUGGUAGUCCACGCAGUAAACGAUGAAUACUCACCGUUUGCGAUAUAAUGUAAGCGGUAAAGCGAAAGCGUUAAGUAUUCCACCUGGGGAGU